rnacentral:rRNA from 1 species
ACGAACGCUGGCGGCGUGCCUAACACAUGCAAGUCGAGCGGGAACUUGAGGAGGGGUAACCCACUUCAAGGGAGAGCGGCGAACGGGUGAGUAUCACGUGGGCAACCUGCCCCGGACACCGGGAUAACCCAGGGAAACCUGAGCUAAUACCGGAUACUCCGGUUGGAUCGCAUGGUCCGAUCGGGAAAGCUCCGACGGUCCGGGAUGGGCCCGCGGCCUAUCAGCUUGUUGGUGGGGUAACGGCCUACCAAGGCGACGACGGGUAGCUGGUCUGAGAGGACGGCCAGCCACACUGGGACUGAGACACGGCCCAGACUCCUACGGGAGGCAGCAGUGGGGAAUAUUGCGCUAAUGCGCGAAAGCGUGACGCAGCGACGCCGCGUGGGGAUGAAGGCCCUCGGGUCGU